UGACACAACAAGCAAGGAGAACAUACCAGCCUUAAUCGCUAUUGUCUCCACGCAACCGCAUGUCCGCAUCCUACAUGGGGGCAACAGGGACAGCCACCCAAGCAACACAGAGCUCUAACACGACCAAUUGCCAUGGCUCGCCGCCUCCUACUCCUUCUCCUCGCUUUCCUCUUCUCCACUGCCGCGCUCUGCUCGCCCGACGCCUCCGCCGCUGAGGAUCCGCUCAUCGAGCAGGUGGUCGGCGACGGCGCAGACGACGAGCUGGAGCUGAACGCGGAGGCGCACUUCGCGAGCUUCGUCCGGCGGUUCGGCAAGACCUACCGCGACGACGAAGAGCGCGCGCACCGGAUGUCCGUGUUCAAGGCCAACCUUCUCCGCUCGCGGCGCCACCAGCGGCUCGACCCCACGGCGGUGCACGGGGUCACUAAGUUCUCUGACCUCACCCCCGCCGAGUUCCGGCGGCAGUUCCUCGGCCUCCGCCGCUCCCGCUCCUCCGGACAGGACCUGCUCAAGGGGUCGGGGUCGGCGCAUGAGGCGCCUAUCCUCCCCACCGACGGCCUCCCGACCGACUUCGACUGGCGUGAACAUGGCGCCGUCGGACCCGUCAAGGACCAGGGGUCCUGCGGGUCGUGUUGGUCGUUCAGCACAUCGGGGGCUUUAAGAGGAUUGAGAGAAAUAAGUUUAGGUGACUGAAAACUUGUUCUGCUGGCCCGCAUUUCUGAUUCCUCUGCUCUGUUGUCAUGAAUUUUACAGUGUGAUCCAUCAGAACCGCGCUCAUGUGACUCAGGAUGCAAUGGUGGCUUGAUGACUACAGCUUUCAGUUAUCUCCAGAAAGUUGGUGGCCUUGAGAGAGAGGAAGAUUAUCCGUACAAUGGGAGGGACAGCACCUGCAAGUUUGACAAGUCCAAAAUUGUUGCUCAAGUGAACAAUUUCAGUGUUGUAUCUGUUAAUGAAGACCAAAUUGCUGCUAAUUUGGUUAAACAUGGUCCACUCGCAAUUGGUAUCAAUGCAGUCUUCAUGCAGACAUACAUUGGUGGUGUGUCAUGCCCAUACAUUUGUGGAAGGCAUCUGGAUCACGGUGUUCUUUUGGUCGGUUAUGGAUCGGCUGGUUAUGCUCCAAUCCGCUUCAAGGAAAAGCCGUACUGGAUUAUAAAGAACUCCUGGGGUGAGAACUGGGGUGAGAACGGAUACUACAAGAUUUGUAGGGGUCCACAUGUGCAAAAUAAGUGCGGUGUUGAUUCCAUGGUCUCUACUGUGACUGCCAUUCACAGCUCUAAGAAGGAAUAGGAACCUAUUGGUCCUCUUGUCUGUUGUCUGUACAUACCACUGCAUUUGAUUUGAUCUUACACUAGAACUCUUGUCAUUGAGGGCUGCCUAUGGUAUUAUGUGAAAUUGUUUUCGAUGGCUUUACUGUUUGUUUGGGUUGGUGUAUUGGGGCCAUGGGACUAGUUAUGUGUUAGCAAUAGUAAUGUUUGUAAAAUAUCAAGUGUUUGAACAUUUGCUAAAAGUAUGCUAUAGAUCAAAUACAUGGAUCUUAUUUCUGUA